rnacentral:rRNA from 1 species
UACGAAGGGGGCUAGCGUUGCUCGGAAUCACUGGGCGUAAAGGGCGUCUAGGCGGUUCGGUAAGUGGGAUGUGAAAUGCCCGGGCUCACCCCGGGACCUGCAUCCCAAACUGCUGAGCUUGAGUACAGGAGAGGGUAGGGGAAUUCCAGGUGUAGCGGUGAAAUGCGUAGAUAUCUGGAGGAACCCCGGUGGCGAAGGCGCCUACCUGGCCUGUUACUGACGCUGAAGCGCGAAAGCUAGGGGAGCAAACGGG